rnacentral:tRNA from 1 species
GGUUGUGGCUCAGCGGUAGAGUGCUCGCCUAGCAUGUGUAAGGCCCUGGGUUUGAUCCUCAGCACCA